UCCGGUUUAUCACCGGCAGUCCCCCAUGAGUCCCCGACAUUACUCGCUGGCAACAUAGGGCAAGGGUUGCGCUCGUUGCGGGACUUAACCCAACAUCUCACGACACGAGCUGACGACAGCCAUGCAGCACCUGUCCUAGAGUCCCGAAGGAGGGCUCCUGUUUCCAGGGGCUUUCACGUGCAUGUCAAGCCCAGGUAAGGUGGGGAUGACGUCUGUCAGUCAA
rnacentral:misc_RNA from 1 species